rnacentral:misc_RNA from 1 species
AGAUUUCUUGAAGGCCGAUGAUUGCAUCGAGUGGCUGAACUCCAAGCCGCCCUCAUCAGCUGUUUAUGUUUCUUUUGGUAGCGUGGUGAGCUUAAGGCAAGACCAGCUUAACGAGAUUGCUUAUGGGCUAUUGAACUCGGGUGUUUCAUUUUUGUGGGUUUUUAGACCGCCUCCUAAAGAUUCAGUCUUUGAACCAGUUGAGAUCCCAGAUGGGUUGUUGGAGAAAACAGGAGACAAGGGAAAAAUAGUACAGUGGAGUCCACAAGAAAGAGUUCUAGCUCACCCAUCAGUUGCAUGCUUCGUGACACACUGUGGAUGGA